rnacentral:rRNA from 1 species
UACGUAGGGUGCAAGCGUUAAUCGGAAUUACUGGGCGUAAAGCGUGCGCAGGCGGUUAUGCAAGACAGAUGUGAAAUCCCCGGGCUUAACCUGGGAACCGCAUUUGUGACUGCAUAGCUGGAGUACGGCAGAGGGGGAUGGAAUUCCGCGUGUAGCAGUGAAAUGCGUAGAUAUUGGGAGGAACACCGGUGGCGAAGGCGGCCCUCUGGACCGGUACUGACGCUGAUGCGCGAAAGCGUGGGGAGCAAACAGG